GACGAACGCUGGCGGCGUGCUUAACACAUGCAAGUCGAACGGAAAGGCCUGUCCUUCCUUGUGUUGGACGGGUACUCGAGUGGCGAACGGGUGAGUAACACGUGAGUGAUCUGCCCCCAACUUGGGUAUAAGCCUGGGAAACUGGGUCUAAUUCCCGAUAGGACUGCAGGGUGGUGCCUGUGGUGGAAAACGAUUUUCUAGUGGUUGGGGAUGAGCUCGCGGCCUAUCAGCUUGUUGGUGGGGUAAUGGCCUACCAAGGCGGCGACGGGUAGCCGGCCUGAGAGGGUGGACGGCCACAUUGGGACUGGGAUACGGCCCAGACUGCUACGGGAGGCAGCAGUGGGGAAUAUUGCACAAUGGGCGGAAGCCUGAUGCAGCGACGCCGCGUGGGGGAUGACGGCCUUCGGGUUGUAAACUCCUUUCGACCGCGAGGAAGCCGCCUGGUUGGAAGGGUGGUGACGGUAGUGGUAGAAGAAGCACCGGCUAACUACGUG
rnacentral:rRNA from 1 species